rnacentral:rRNA from 1 species
AUGGCUUACUAUUCAGAUCAUCAUGCUUAUGCGAGCAACACUACAAACAGCACGGAAAGUAUUCAAGAACUGAUAAGUAAGAUUUCCCAUCAAUUAGAUGAUUUAGCUCGGCAGCGAGAGGUUGUUUUUGAGGAUAGGCCUAGCUCUUAUGUUCCUUAUUCUAGAGGUCAUCCUUAUGUUGCUCCUACAUGCCAUAUUUGUGGAUUUCAGGGCCAUUCACCCGCUGAAUGUCAGCGUGGUUACUCUCACCCUCCCGAUUGUUAUGGCAUGAGCUUCGCCCCACAGCCUAGCUCAUACCAAAACAAUUACACACAUGGGUGGCCUGAAAACCAGAAUAUGUCAUAUAGGAGCAAUAACCCUGAGAUCUCAUCGUUUGCCUCUAGUUAUCCAAUGCAGGGAUUCAGGUACAAUGAGGAGAACCACAAAUAUGCUCCACAACAGAUUUAUUCACCUCCUACUCAUAUACCUCAAUACCAGGAGAUGUGUCCAAUGGAGUUAAAUGGUCCUCCAUUUGGUCAACCAACAACUCCAGCACCUUUCGAGCAAUCUCAUGUGCAAGUGCCCACACAAGAUGAAUUUGAUGAUAUAGAGAAGCUCACAUUGCUUAGUAUUGAGUUCACUUGGAGUGCCGAGGAUGAUCCUAUUAGGAAGGUUAUACUAGAUGAAAUGAAGAAGAUCAAGAGUGGAAAAGAGCUGGUGGAAGAAGUAAGGAAGAUUGAGAAGAACAUCAACGCUGGCAGCACUAUUUCUUCACAACUUGAGUUGAGUGUGGCUGAGAUAUCCAUGGAUACAUGUGAGGUUCCAACACCUUCACAUUUCGUUGAGCAAGUUAGCAAGUGCCUUGAGCAAGAGAUACCUCAGAUUGAAGAAGAUGAACUAGAAGACAAGGAACAAGAUGGUCAAGAGCUGCAAUUCCCAAGUGAUCAAGUUGAAGAUUCAUCAUCUAUUACUCCUGAAGAAGUGCAAGAAGCUGCUGUAGAUGAAGAUGAAGAACAUGAGAUUCAUUUGCCUAUUGUCAUACCAGAGCGUGAUGUGUCAGGUUUACUCAAUCCUCUUGAUUACAUGAUGCCUUGUGAUUUCUUUGCUACCACCUUGCAUUACAUGAUACCAUCACAUAAGAUUGAUUUGAAAACUCAUUUGCUUGGAUAUGAUGAUAUAUACCCUGUUAGUGGCAUUGCUCUCAUUUGUGAUGAUCACAAUUACUUUCCUCAUGCUAGUCUUGAGCUUAAUGAUAAAUGUCAUCCUCGUGUGAGUAUUGACCAUGCUGAUUUCUGCCAUCCUAAACAUGUGCUUUAUAGUUAUGCUUAUAUAAUUGGAUAUUCCAUUGAUGACUUGGAGGGCAUCGACCGUAUCACUUGUAGUUGUUUGUGUGAGUCCUAUUUCAGGCUUUUGCUACUGCACUGUUUACUACAUGCUGACCAGGUUCGAGGUGACAUUCCUUGGGAUCCUGGUGGAGUCAGAGCAUGGCGAUGA